UUCGGAUCGCAGGCUGCAACUCGCCUGCGUGAAGUUGGAAUUGCUAGUAAUCGCGGAUCAGCAUGCCGCGGUGAAUACGUUCCCGGGCCUUGUACACACCGCCCGUCACACCAUGGGAGUUUGUAACACCCGAAGUCAGUAUCCUAACCGCGAAGGGGGGAGCUGCCGAAGGUGGGAUAAGCGACUGGGGUGAAGUCGUAACAAGGUACC
rnacentral:rRNA from 1 species